rnacentral:rRNA from 1 species
CCUACGGGAGGCAGCAGUGAGGAAUAUUGGUCAAUGGGCGUAAGCCUGAACCAGCCAAGUCGCGUGCGGGAUGAAGGUCCUAUGGAUCGUAAACCUCUUUUAUAAGGGAAUAAAGUGCGGGACGUGUCCUGUUUUGUAUGUACCUUAUGAAUAAGGAUCGGCUAACUCCGUGCCAGCAGCCGCGGUAAUACGGAGGAUCCGAGCGUUAUCCGGAUUUAUUGGGUUUAAAGGGUGCGCAGGCGGAGGUGCAAGUCAGCGGUAAAAUUGCGGGGCUCAACCCCGUACUGCCGUGGAAACUGGAUCGCUUGAGUGCGCGAGAAGUAUGCGGAAUGCGUGGUGUAGCGGUGAAAUGCAUAGAUAUGACGCAGAACUCCGAUUGCGAAGGCAGCAUACCGGCGCGCAACUGACGCUCAUGCACGAAAGCGUGGGUAUCGAACAGGAUUAGAUACCCCAGUAGUC